CACAGAUCCUUUUUAUUUAAUCUCUCUCAUCUCUCUCUCUCUCUCUCUCUUCUGGCUUUGCUUGGUUUAGGUGAAACACAGCAAAAAAGGAAGGCGAAGAAAAGAGAAUGGGAUACGUGUUGAUAAUUCCUAUGUGGAUGCUACUGUUCGUUUUGGUCGUGGGCCUUACCGUUUACCUACUCGUAAGGGCCCGUAAUCGAAGGCAAGCAGCCCAAAUUCCAGUGUAUUAUGGGCCUCCUGCUCCCCCGGCCCCAUUUCAGGCCCAAGAUAAGCCCAACUGAUCGCUCCAAUACUCCUACUAAUAUGUUUUGUGUGGAUCUGAACUUCUAUCUUGGAUUGUUACUGCUUGUGUGAAAGUAAAUUAUAAUGAAUUUGAAAUGGAACUUAUUUUACUAGCUAUUAUUUUAGCUUAUUGUUGCCAUAGAUUCAUUUUAAUUAUUCUUUGACAGUGAGUUAAUUUUGAAUUCUGUUGGAUUAUGUAUAAUGACGUGCCAUGUAUUCUUAAGGACAAUUUAGAGUUCCUGUAUGUCUUCUCGGUCCCACCAAUCAUUAGAUCUCUCGAUCUUAAGGUACGUGAAAUCAGU